UACGAAGGGGGCAAGCGUUGUUCGGAAUUACUGGGCGUAAAGGGCGCGCAGGCGGCCAAUCAAGUCAGAUGUGAAAGCCCCGGGCUCAACCUGGGAAUAGCAUGUGGGACUGGUUGGCUAGAGAUCGGGAGAGGAGAGUGGAAUUCCCAGUGUAGAGGUGAAAUUCGUAGAUAUUGGGAAGAACACCGGUGGCGAAGGCGGCUCUCUGGACCGAUACUGACGCUGAGGCGCGAAAGCGUGGGGAGCAAACAGG
rnacentral:rRNA from 1 species